AUGGUCAGUGUCGGCUAUGCUGUCCCCUCCUCUCCCAGGACAAUGGGCAGUGUCUGCCGUGUUGUUCCUUCCUCUACCAGGACCCCAGGCAGGGUCAGCCACGCUGUCCCGUUCUCUACCGGGACCCUGGUCAGUGUCAACCAUGCGGUCUCUGCCUCUCCCGGGAUCCCGUGCAGUGUCAGACAUGCUCUCUCCUCCUGUUUGGGCACACCAAGCAGUGUCUGUGCUGUUACCUCCUGUCAUGUGACACUGGGUAGUGUAAGCUGCGCUGUCCCCUCAUCUCCUGGGCCCCCAGGCAGUGUCAGCCGUGAUAUCCCCUCCUCUCCUAAGGAAUCCAAGCAGUGUCAGAGGCGCUGUCCUCUCCUCUCCCGGGAUGCCGGGCAGUGUCAGCUGUGCUGUCCCCUCCUCUCCUGGGACCUCAGGCAGUGUCGGCCCUGCUGUUCCCUCCUCACACGGGACAAAGGUCAAUUUUGGCUGCACCAUCCCCUCCUAUCCCGGGACCCCCGGCAGUUACAGCCAUCCUGUCCCAUCCUCUCCCAGGUCCCCAACACUGUCAGCCGUGAUAUCCCCUCCUCUCCCAGGAUGCCGGGCAGUGUUGGCCAUGCUUUCCCCUCCCCUCCUGGGACCCUGGGCAGUGUUGGCCCUGCUGUCCCCUCCUCACAUGGGACAAAGGUCAGUUUCAGCCACGACGUCCCCUCCUCUCCGGACACUGGCCACCCUUCAGGGUCACCAGGCAGGUGUCUGCCACUCUUUCCCCUCCCCUCUAGGUGCCCACUCCAUUUCUCCCAUGCUGUCCCCACCUCUCCCAGGACUCCAGGCAGAUCAACUGCGCUGUGCUCUCUUCUCCAGUUACUGGUCUGUGUAUGCUGCAUUGUCCCCUACUGUCCUGGGACACAAGACCAUGUUGCCAUGCUGUCCCUCCUCUCCAGGGACACUGGUCAGUGUCACCUGUGCUCUCCCCUCCUCUCCCGGUCCCCAGGCAGUGCUGUCCACACUGUCACCUCCUCUCUGGUGACAACGGUCAGUGUCUGCCAUGCUGUUUCCUCCUCGCCAGGGACACCGGUCAGGCUUGUCCACGUGGUCCCUUCCUCUCCUGGGACACUGGACUGUGUUGGCUGCAAAGUUCCCUCUUCUCUGGGGACAUUGGUCAAUGUCGGCCGUGCUGUGCCCUCCUAUCCCAGGAUACUGAACAGUGUCAGCUGUGUAGUCCCCUCCACUUUGGCACUGGGCAGUGUUGUCCAUGCUGACAUGUCCAGUUACAGGACACUAGGUGGUAGUAUUUGCUCUCCCCUCCACUUCGGGGAAAACAGGCAGUGUCGUUGA
rnacentral:lncRNA from 12 species